rnacentral:rRNA from 1 species
ACAGUGGACGCGAGCAUCUGUGGCCAAGUUUUUAAGGGCGCACGGUGGAUGCCUUGGCACCAGGAACCGAUGAAGGACGUGGGAGGCCACGAUAGGCCCCGGGGAGUCGUCAACCAGGCUUUGAUCCGGGGGUGUCCGAAUGGGGAAACCCGGCAGUCGUCAUGGGCUGUCACCCGCUGCUGAACUCAUAGGCAGUGUGGAGGGAACGCGGGGAAGUGAAACAUCUCAGUACCCGCAGGAAGAGAAAACAACCGUGAUUCCGGGAGUAGUGGCGAGCGAAACCGGAUGAGGCCAAACCGUAUACGUGUGAGACCCGGCAGGGGUUGCGUGUGCGGGGUUGUGGGAUCUCUCUUCUGUUGUCUGCCGGCAACAGGACGAGUCAGAAACCGUUGAUGUAGGCGAAGGACAUGCGAAAGGUCCGGCGUAGAGGGUAAGACCCCCGUAGUCGAAACAUCAGCGGCUCGUUUGAGAGACACCCAAGUAGCACGGGGCCCGAGAAAUCCCGUGUGAAUCUGGCGGGACCACCCGCUAAGCCUAAAUAUUCCCUGGUGACCGAUAGCGGAUAGUACCGUGAGGGAAUGGUGAAAAGUACCGCGGGAGCGGAGUGAAAUAGUACCUGAAACCGUGUGCCUACAAGCCGUGGGAGCGUCGCGCAAGGACUUGUCCUUGCGUCGUGACUGCGUGCCUUUUGAAGAAUGAGCCUGCGAGUUUGCGGUGUGUUGCGAGGUUAACCCGGGUGGGGAAGCCGUAGCGAAAGCGAGUCCGAAUAGGGCGCUGUAGUAGCACGCUCAAGACCCGAAGCGGAGUGAUCUAGCCAUGGGCAGGUUGAAGCGGAGGUAAGACUUCGUGGAGGACCGAACCCACCAGGGUUGAAAACCUGGGGGAUGACCUGUGGUUAGGGGUGAAAGGCCAAUCAAACUCCGUGAUAGCUGGUUCUCCCCGAAAUGCAUUUAGGUGCAGCGUCGUGUGUUUCUUGCCGGAGGUAGAGCACUGGAUAGGCGAUGGGCCCUACCGGGUUACUGACCUUAGCCAAACUCCGAAUGCCGGUAAGUGAGAGCGCGGCAGUGAGACUGUGGGGGAUAAGCUCCAUGGUCGAGAGGGAAACAGCCCAGAGCAUCGACUAAGGCCCCUAAGCGUACGCUAAGUGGGAAAGGAUGUGGAGUCGCACAGACAACCAGGAGGUUGGCUUAGAAGCAGCCACCCUUGAAAGAGUGCGUAAUAGCUCACUGGUCUAGUGAUUCCGCGCCGACAAUGUAGCGGGGCUCAAGCGUACCGCCGAAGUCGUGUCAUUGCAGCAUAUACGGUCAACGCCGGCUGUGAUGGGUAGGGGAGCGUCGUGUGCCGGGUGAAGCAGCCGCGGAAGCGAGUUGUGGACGGUUCACGAGUGAGAAUGCAGGCAUGAGUAGCGAUACAAACGUGAGAAACGUUUGCGCCGAUUGACUAAGGGUUCCUGGGUCAAGCUGAUCUGCCCAGGGUAAGUCGGGACCUAAGGCGAGGCCGACAGGCGUAGUCGAUGGAUAACCGGUUGAUAUUCCGGUACCCGCUGUGAAGCGUCAAACAUCGAGCAUCGUGAUGCUAAGGCCGUGAAGCCGCCCUGAUCUCUUCGGAGUUGAGGGGAGUGGUGGAGCCGCUGAACCAAGCGGUUAGUAGGUGAGUGAUGGGGUGACGCAGGAAGGUAGUCCAGCCCGGGCGGUGGUUGUCCCGGGGUAAGGGUGUAGGACGUUGGGUAGGUAAAUCCGCCUGACAUUAAGUCUGAGACCUGAUGCCGAGCCGAUUGUGGUGAAGUGGAUGAUCCUAUGCUGUCGAGAAAAGCCUCUAGCGAGUUUCAUGGCGGCCCGUACCCUAAACCGACUCAGGUGGUCAGGUAGAGAAUACCGAGGCGUUCGGGUGAACUAUGGUUAAGGAACUCGGCAAAAUGCCCCGUAACUUCGGGAGAAGGGGGGCCAUUUCUGGUGACCGGAUUUACUCCGUGAGCUGGGGGUGGCCGCAGAGACCAGCGAGAAGCGACUGUUUACUAAAAACACAGGUCCGUGCGAAGCCGUAAGGCGAUGUAUACGGACUGACGCCUGCCCGGUGCUGGAACGUUAAGGGGACCGGUUAGCUCCAUUUCGGUGGGGCGAAGCUGAGAACUUAAGCGCCAGUAAACGGCGGUGGUAACUAUAACCAUCCUAAGGUAGCGAAAUUCCUUGUCGGGUAAGUUCCGACCUGCACGAAUGGCGUAACGACUUCUUGACUGUCUCAACCAUAGGCCCGGUGAAAUUGCACUACGAGUAAAGAUGCUCGUUUCGCGCAGCAGGACGGAAAGACCCCGGGACCUUUACUACAGUUUGAUAUUGGUGUUCGGUUCGGCUUGUGUAGGAUAGCUGGGAGACUUUGAAGCUCGCACGCCAGUGUGGGUGGAGUCGUCGUUGAAAUACCAGUCUGGUCGUGCUGGAUGUCUAACCUGGGUCCGUGAUCCGGAUCAGGGACAGUGUCUGAUGGGUAGUUUAACUGGGGCGGUUGCCUCCUAAAGAGUAACGGAGGCGCCCAAAGGUUCCCUCAGCCUGGUUGGCAAUCAGGUGUUGAGUGUAAGUGCACAAGGGAGCUUGACUGUGAGACCGACGGGUCGAGCAGGGACGAAAGUCGGGACUAGUGAUCCGGCGGUGGCUUGUGGAAGCGCCGUCGCUCAACGGAUAAAAGGUACCCCGGGGAUAACAGGCUGAUCUUCCCCAAGAGUCCAUAUCGACGGGAUGGUUUGGCACCUCGAUGUCGGCUCGUCGCAUCCUGGGGCUGGAGUCGGUCCCAAGGGUUGGGCUGUUCGCCCAUUAAAGCGGUACGCGAGCUGGGUUUAGAACGUCGUGAGACAGUUCGGUCCCUAUCCGCUGUGCGCGUAGGAGUCUUGAGAAGGGCUGUCCCUAGUACGAGAGGACCGGGACGGACGAACCUCUGGUGUGCCAGUUGUCCUGCCAAGGGCAUGGCUGGUUGGCUACGUUCGGGAGGGAUAACCGCUGAAAGCAUCUAAGCGGGAAGCCUGCUUCGAGAUGAGGACUCCCACCCACUUGAUGGGGUAAGGCUCCCAGUAGACGACUGGGUUGAUAGGCCGGAUCUGGAAGCACCGUGAGGUGUGGAGGUGACCGGUACUAAUAGGCCGAGGGCUUGUCCUCAGUUG